rnacentral:rRNA from 1 species
GACGAACGCUGCGGCCUGCUUAACACAUGCAAGUCGAACGGUGAAGCGCCUUCCUUUUUGGUGGGUGUGGAUGAGUGGCGAACGGGUGAGUAACACGUGAGUAACCUGCCCCCUUCUUCUGGAUAACCGCAUGAAAGUGUGGCUAAUACGAGGUAUUCUGGGUCUGUCGCAUGAUGGGUCUGGGAAAGAUAGUGUUUCGGUGGGGGAUGGGCUCGCGGCCUGUCAGCUUGUUGGUGGGUUGAGUGCCUACCAAGGGGGUGACGGGUAGCGGGCCUGGGAGGGUAGACGGUCUGAGUGGGAGUGAGACACGGCCGGGACUGCUACGGGAGGCAGCAGUGGGGGGGAGGGAGCAGUGGGGGAUAGUGUGAUGCGGGGGGGAGGCGGAAGGGAUGGAGCCGUGCGGGUUGUGAAGCUCUUUCGCUAGUGAAGCAGGCUUGCCUGGGAUGUAGGUGGGUUGACGGUAGUGGGAAAAGAAGCGCCGGCUAACUACGUG